rnacentral:tRNA from 1 species
UGAAAGCUAGUGAUAUGUCACAAAUGAAUUUGGAUCAUUAAAGGGAGCCAAAGACUCCGCCUUCAA